UAGGGAAUCUUCGGUAAUGGACGAAAGUCUGACCGAGCAACGCCGCGUGAGUGAAGAAGGUUUUCGGAUCGUAAAACUCUGUUGGUAGAGAAGAACGUUGGUGAGAGUGGAAAGCUCAUCAAGUGACGGUAACUACCCAGAAAGGGACGGCUAACUACGUGCCAGCAGCCGCGGUAAUACGUAGGUG
rnacentral:rRNA from 1 species